GAUGAACGCUGGCGGCGUGCCUAAUACAUGCAAGUCGAACGAACAGAUGAUGAGCUUUCUCCUCUUACGUUAGCGACGGACGGGUGAGUAACACGUAGAUAACCUACCUCUAUGACUUGGAUAACUUCGGGAAACCGUAGCUAAUACCGGAUAAUAUAUCCAACCGCAUGGUGCAAGAGUGAAUGACGGGUUUGCUGUCACUUAUAGAUGGAUCCGCGCGGCAUUAGCUAGUUGGUAAGGUAACGGCUUACCAAGGGAGCGAUGCGUAGCCGACGUGAGAGGGGGAUCGGCAACAGUGAAGGUGAGCAACGGUCCAGACACUUAGGGGAGGCAGAGGUAGGGAAGGUAGUGAAAUGGGGGAAAGCGUGACGAAGCAACGCGGGGUGGGUGAUGAAGGUCUUCGGAUGGUAAGACUCUGUUAUUGGGGAAAAACAAAUGUGUAAGUAACUAUGCACGUCUUGAGGGAACCGAAGAAGAAGGACCGGGUUAAUUAGUG
rnacentral:rRNA from 1 species